rnacentral:rRNA from 1 species
GACGAACGCUGGCGGCGUGCCUAAUACAUGCAAGUUGAGCGACGAAGCUUGGUGCUUGCACCAAUUUGAAGAGCAGCGAACGGGUGAGUAACGCGUGGGGAAUCUGCCUUUGAGCGGGGGACAACAUUUGGAAACGAAUGCUAAUACCGCAUAACAACUUUAAACAUAAGUUUUAAGUUUGAAAGAUGCAAUUGCAUCACUCAAAGAUGAUCCCGCGUUGUAUUAGCUAGUUGGUGAGGUAAAGGCUCACCAAGGCGAUGAUACAUAGCCGACCUGAGAGGGGGAUCGGCCACAUUGGGACUGAGACACGGCCCAAACUCCUACGGGAGGCAGCAGUAGGGAAUCUUCGGCAAUGGACGAAAGUCUGACCGAGCAACGCCGGGGGAGUGAAGAAGGGUUUCGGAUCGUAAAACUCUGUUGGUAGAGAAGAACGUUGGUGAGAGUGGAAAGCUCAUCAAGUGACGGUAACUACACAGAAAGGGACGGCUAACUACGUG